rnacentral:lncRNA from 1 species
UCAGAACGCGCGCACGCCCCGCCUCCCCCAACACCCCCACCCCCACUCCGGCGCGCCAUCUUUAGUGCUGGCAGCGAGGCUUCUUGGCCCCAUACGUCCAACCUUGCUGCUGGAGAGAUUGGGGUUUAUUUUUAACUGACUUACAUGAACGUGACCCCAUUUCCGAGGCCUGGCGCCUUUCUCCUCCUGUAAGUCUUCGCUCGAAUGUCACCUUGCGAGGGAAGUUGUUCCUGAUCACCCUGACUAUGUCCCCUACCGGUACUAAGAAAAAUCUGCAAAACAAAUGCUUGGCCAGCCUUAAGGAAUGAAUGGCCUUAGACUGAGUAAACCACACCAAGAUCACUCCUGGAAAAUGUUUUCAAGUGUCGAAGAUGGGAUGAUCGCCCAAAAGUUCUUACUGAAACCAAAGAAGGCAAACACCACCUACUAUAUUAUAAAGGAGAGGACACUGCAUUGGCUCCUCCGGAGGUCACAGCAACGUGGCGCCAUCUUGGAAGCAGAGAGCAGCCCUCACCGGACACCAACACCAGGCGCGGUGAUCUUGGCCUCCAAAGCUGUAAGAAAUAAAUUUCUGCUCCUUAUAAAUAACUCAGUCUC